ensembl:processed_transcript Gm10125 predicted gene 10125
UUUUUUUUUUUUUUUUUCUGUCAUGAUAUGUUACUGAUUUGCUUGAGGGUCACAUAGAAUUUCAAGGAAUUUUAAAACAACAACCAAAACAAACCACAGACAUUUCAAAUCUUGAACCUAAAAGCCAACAUUGCUUUGUUUUAUUUGGAUUGCAUUUCAUGGCUAAAUAAUAGCAAGGACAUCUUAGUCCUUAGCAAAGACGUAAGUCUCAGUAUUCAGGAGUUUGAUUAUGAAGUAACAUAAUAAAAGAUUUGUUUCAUACUAUCACAGCCCUCCUUCUGAAUGUUGUGAAGGGCUAUCCCUCUGCAGCUCCAAGAAUCUGGGUUCUUUCCUCUAGUGGAUCAGCUGCAUCCUGGGCCAGUAGGGUCCUUUGCAGGUGGCCAACCAAGAGAAAGAGGAAGUGGCUCUUGGAAUCACAGACCCAGGCUGGGAAGAAUUUGUGUGAUGCAGUGGCCACCCCCUAAGAGCUGCAGUGAUCCUCUCUGAGCCCUUCAGAAAGCACUAUGACCACAAAAAGUGAGUACCAAACCCUGUUGUUUCUUAUAAACAUAUGUCUGAUAAAAUUCACUUUAUAAAUCAGGCACAGUAAGAGAUUAAUAACAAUGGAUGCUAAUAAAAUAAGACAACUAUGAUUUACAGAAAUAAAAGUUACAUGAUGUGUUCUCUGCUUUGACUCAAAAAAAUAAAAAAAAAACCAAUAUUUUCAGACAUUGGUUGACUAUGGACGAUUCAAAUUCUGGAGUGCAAAAGCAGAGAGAAAGGAAGAUGAUGUCCUCACAUUCCAGUAGAUGAGUGAGUCACGUGGGCUCCACCCAGAAGCACAGCUGUAUGUGCACUGUCCUUAAGAGCCCAGAGCCGAAGGGAAAUAGUGAAUGCAUAGCCUUGUGCUUGGCACCGUGCAGCAAACAUUUUAAAACACAGAAAAGUUGCUUUCUAUUUGAGCCUGGAAACAGCUGUUAGGAGUUGGAUUCAUCUUUUCAUCUCUUUAGGGACUUGAGCUGCCUUACACCAGUUCCAAAAUGGUGCAUGGUUCCAUUGCCCAGGGUUUCUUAUGUCCAGAAUGACACUGUGUAGCCCAGACUGACCUCAGACUUGAGAGGCAUCAGUUUCUUGAGUGCUGAGAUUAUGGGUUUGUGCUACCAUCCCUAGAACAUGUUAACAUUGUGUGCAUACAUGUGUGUGUGCAUGUGUGUAUGCACAUGUGUAUAUUAUAUGCUUAGUCUUAUAUACCUCAUUUUUACCCAUAUUCCUGUGUGUUUCCUUUGUUAAAAAGUUCAACUCUCAACUCUCCAAAACACUAGCUGGAUAAAUUUAGAAAACUUUAUUUUUCAUGUUUAUUUUCAGUCCCAAAGGUGAUGACGCAAAGGACAGCCAGUAAACAGGCUAUCAUGGUGAUAAGAGCUCGGAUACUUCAGAGUCUAGUACAUGAAUUUAGUUGUCCUCUCAAGAAAGAGCACACUGUCACUGAAGUUUCAGUUUAAUACUUAGGCUAGUUCAUUAACACUUAAAAUAUUUUAAUUGCUUGAGCAUUUUGUAAAUGUAUUUUAAUCAUUGACUCCUAGCUCUUCCAUGAGCUACCCCUGCUCAUAAGUGUUUCUUGAUUGCAUUCAUUUCAGUUUCUCCCAGACCCAUCCUCCUCCUCUAUGAAUCCGAACUUCAUAUCCUGUCUCUCUUUUUUAAAUUUUAUUUUAAAAAUAACCCAUUGACUCUAAUUUGUGCUGUCCAUAUGCUCUGGGGUGGGGGUGGAGCAUGUUAGACUUACCAGGAGCCACGAUCCUAAAGAAAACCAAAACCGACUCUCCCAGGAGCUAUCAUCUGUCCUCAUUCUAUGGUGGAAGAUCAUGAGCCUCUCCCUGUUCUAAGAUAGCAUACUGACUGACUUGAUCUUGGCAGGUUUUGUGCAGGCAACCAUGGCUGCUGUGAGUUCCCAAGGAGCACCCCAUGUCCAGAAGAGACUUUCUUACUCUAGUCCUCCCCAACCUUUGGCUCUUACAGCCUUGCCAUCCUCUCAUUAGCAGUGAAGUCUUGGUGUUACAGAUGUGCCUUUAGUAGCUGAGUACCUGACAGAUACUAUCUGUACUUCAAUUGUGACUUUCUGCAUUAACCACCAGACAGUAAUCUACAAAUAGAGAGAAACAGAUUUUCAGAGCAAUUUGAUACUAAGUCCAUAUAGCAAAUUAAUGGAAUAGGUUCACCCUUGGGGCCAUGAAUUCCCCAACUGUAUCAGGUAUGUGUUUCUUCUUGUGGAGUGGGCCUUAACUCUAAGAAGAAGCAGUUGAUUGUCCCUGUAACACCUGUGCCACUAUAGUGCCCAUUGGCAUACCUUGUCACACUGGUCAUUAUUUCAGUUCACAAGGCUAAGACUGACUUCCUCCUUCAACAGGCUGCAUAACACCAUUUGGGCUAGGAGAGUUAGACAUCAAGGGUAGUAUCUUAAGGUCAAAAUCAACUUGAUUCUUCCAUGUCCUGUGAGCAGUGUGUUUAACAUCAAGUUCUAGAGGGUAGUCAAGAGCAUUAAAGUGAAAUUCUUGGGGUCACCAGGACACUCCUGGCCAAAACCUGGAGGGGAGACAUGCCACACCUGGCAGUGUGCGUUUUAUUUGACAACCCAUGAGUUAAUUAUAUGAUGCUUAUAAAAUAGUGAGUUUUUGUAACAUUUUUGUUGGUGGUGUUAAUAAAUUGUUUUUUAGA